rnacentral:rRNA from 1 species
AGUCAAUAGAUACCCGGGUAGUCCACGCCGCAAACGAUGAGUACUAGGUGUAGGAGGUAUCGACUCCUUCUGUGCCGCAGUUAACACAAUAAGUACUCCGCCUGGGAAGUACGGUCGCAAGAUUAAAACUCAAAGGAAUUGACGGGGGCCCGGCACAAGCAGCGGAGGCAUGUGGUUUAAUUUACGAAGACAACGCGAAGAACCUUACCUACGACUUGUACAUCUCCUGAAUAAGUGUAGAGAUACAUGAAGCCCUUCGGGGUCGAGGAAGACAGGUGGUGCAUGGUUGUCGUCAGCUCGUGUCGUGAGAUGUUGGGUUAAGUUACCCGCAACGAGCGCAACCCUUACUUACUACGUUGCUACCACUUAAGUUAGAGCACUCUAGUGAGACUGCCCGGG